GAUGAAGAACGCAGCGAAAUGCGAUAAGUAAUGCGAAUUGCAGAAUUCCAGUGAGUCAUCGAAUCUUUGAACGCACAUUGCGCCCCUUGGUAUUCCGAGGGGCAUGCCUGUUCGAGCGUCAUAUUAACCACUCCCGCUUGCGGGGUCUUGGGCUUCGCCUCCGGGCGGGCCUUAAAAUCAGUGGCGGUGCCGUCGGGCUCUACGCGUAGUAAAUUUUCUCGCGAUAGGGUCCCGGUGGAUGCUUGCCAACAACCCCCAACUUCUUAAGGUUGACCUCGGAUCAGGUAGGGAUACCCGCUGAACUUAAGCAUAUCAAUAAGCGGAGGA
rnacentral:misc_RNA from 1 species